CUCCGGUUGAUCCCCCCGGGCCCGACUGCUAUCGGAUUGGUACUAGGCCAUGCGAGUCGUUGUAGCAAUACAAGGCGGACGGCUCAGUAACACGUAGUCAACCUAACCUAUGGACGUGGAUAACCUCGGGAAACUGAGGAUAAACCGCGAUAGGCCAAGUUUUCUGGAAUGGAACAUGGCUGAAAUCUAUAUGGCCCUUGGAUUGGACUGCGUCCGAUCAGGCUGUUGGCGGGGUAAUGGCCCACCAAACCUGUAACCGGUACGGGCCUUGAGAGAGGUGGCCCGGAGAUGGACACUGAGAGAAGGGUCCAGGUCCUACGGGGCGCAGCAGGCGCGAAACCUUCGCAAUGCGCGAAAGCGUGACGAGGUUAAUCCGAGUGACUUCCGCUGAGGAGGUCUUUUGUCAGCUGUAAAUAGGCAGGCGAAUAAGGGGAGGGCAAGCCUGGUGUCAGCCGCCGCGGUAAUACCAGCUCCUCGAGUGGUCGGGGCGAUUAUUGGGCCUAAAGCAUCCGUAGCCGGUUCCGUAGGUCCUCUGUUAAAUCCAACCGCUUAACGGUUGACCUGCAGAGGAUACCGCGGGACUAGGAGGCGGGAGAGGCGGACGGUACUCCGCGUGUAGGGGUAAAAUCCUUUGAUCCGCGGAAGACCACCAGUGGCGAAGGCGGUCCGCCAGAACGCGCUCGACGGUGAGGGAUGAAAGCUGGGGGAGCGAACCGGAUUAGAUACCCGGGUAGUCCCAGCCGUAAACGAUGCUAGCUAGAUGAUUCAUUCGCAAGUCGCGAAUGAAGUGUCGCAGGGAAGCCGUUAAGCUAGCCGCCUGGGCAGUACGGUCGCAAGACUGAAACUUAAGGAAUUGGGGGGGGAGCC
rnacentral:rRNA from 1 species